GUAGUCUGCAACUCGACUACAUGAAGCUGGAAUCGCUAGUAAUCGCGAAUCAGAAUGUCGCGGUGAAUACGUUCCCGGGUCUUGUACACACCGCCCGUCACACCAUGGGAGUCGUAAAUGCCCGAAGUCGGUGACCCAACCGCAAGGAGGGAGCCGCCGAAGGCAGGUAUGAUAACUGGGGUGAAGUCGUAACAAGGUAUC
rnacentral:rRNA from 1 species